GGUCUCAUGGUGGAGUGGUAUCAUACGAUCUUAGGGAUUAUUUCCUAAUAUUUCGGAUUGAAUUAUUUAAUAAUUUGAUCGAGUGCCGGGUUCGAUUCCCGGUGAGACCC